AGACUAAGAGACAGAUCCUCAGCUUGUGUAAAUUAUCAUAGUUCCAUUACCAAUGUACUGAGGAUCUCCCGCCACACCCUCUCCCCUCAAGAGGCCUUCUCUCAUUUAGUACAUCCUGGAAUACCUUGUACAACACCUUUGGCAUUGAAUUCAGGUCAGAAAGAUAGGGGUUCCCGUAACAGCUAUUACAGGUUUCCAUGGGGAAAUAGAAAAUCUCAAGAUGAGUAUACACCAAAUGAUCAAAACGUUGUAAAAGCACUGUUAGUCUUGUGGAUAUUUCAGUACCGGUAUAGACAGAAGGAGUGGGAUCUCUGAACUCAGUCAGUUCUAUAUUAGAAAAUCUUCAUUUACCACCUUUUAAAUAUGGUACUGAUAUUCUAUAAUCUAUGCUGAAGUUGCCCCCUUUCUCUUGCCAAAGAAGCUUUAGCUUUGCUCCAAAAUGACUUUGCAUGCACAAUUUCUCGUGAGCCAUUUUUAUUAAACCUAACUUCCUAUGUUUGAAGUAGGACCAUAAAUCUAAUGCUAUUUGUAAUUAGAAAUAAUAAACUGUUUUCACCCCAAAUUUAAAACAUUUAAAUCCACAAAAAUGUUACAAUAUAAAAAUAGUAUCCUACUACUUAUUAAAGAUAAUUGAACAACAUGCUAGAUCUUGGAUUAAACUCAUGCUUAUAAUGCAUUAUGAGAACUAUGUUCUAAAUACAUAUGUUUUAUUUCUAAGUUUCUGUUUUGCUAGAUAAGGAUGUAAAUAGAUAUGGAUGAGGAAUCCUACUGUAAAGUUGUGUUUGUCUUUUAAUUUUAUAAAAAUGUUUCUUCUACAUAUUUUAAAUACUAUAAGUGUGUUCCCUCAGUAGAGAACAGGAUGUAAAAUGGAUUUCAAUAGAUUCCCACAUCUAAAAGGAUUAAUGCACACAUUUAUUAAAUUUAUUUUACCUAGACACACAAACACUGUAAUGGGACAACUCUGCCUUAAUAGGUUCUCUUGGCACCCAAUCUAAUUACAAGAUAAUACUCUACAAACACACUGCAUAUAGUAUGCAAACAAUCAAAUACCUAAAUUAGUAAAAAUAAAUAUAGGUAGGGGGAAAGCCUGAGGUAUUAAAACAAAAAGAUAUAGAAAAGACUUGCAGAGUUUAUUUAUAAUUAGACUUUUUGUAAUUGAUAAUAGGUUGGAGAGGGAAAGACAUUCUAUGUGUUGAACAGCUGUAUGUCCUCAAUUCUCCAACCUGGGAUACCUUUUUUACACUGCUGUGCUGUGAAAGUGACCAUUACUGGUCUGCUCUCGCAAAGCCUCUAACAUGUAAAUGACUCCCAGCUGUAUUAUAUAUGAGCUCUCUAGCCAGCGACUCCUGAAUUAUAUUAUAGAGUAAGACCAGCAAAUUCCCUGUCCCCAGAAAUGUCUUGUACUGCCCAGUAUUCUCCUGGACAACACAAGCUCAUAGGAAGUUUAUUUCAUUAUUAGAAAAUUAUAAGCACAAACCUUAUCUCAAAUUGAGUUUCCCAAAUACUUCAAUCCAAAUACACACUGGUUUAG